UUAAAUCUCAGUGUGAUAGAUAUGCUUGCUUUGAUCUGGUUAGCUCUUGGAAGUCCUGGGGCUCCACUGGGCUGCUGGCCCAGUGCUGCCUGGGGUCCCUAGGGACAGCUCUGUCCACCAUUAGGGAAUUUUUUCCUGAGAACCCCCUGUAACAUUUCGUGAAACCCCAGGGGGUCACGAACCCCAGUUUGGGAACCACUGGGCUAAUGUGUUUGGUUUUGUGCCAUUAGAAAGUUGGCAAACCUAGUCUGCUGUAGGAAAUGCUAUUAAACAUAUUCUGGCUGUGAUAAAUUGUAAAAUAGGCAGACAAAAGUGCACUUAAAAGAUCUGAUGGUGUCACAGCUGACAGCUUCAGGGAUGUGCAUGUUUGGUAGCUGAAGGAUUUUGUUUAAUAACUUAGUUUUCUCAGUUUGACAUGUCCUCCCAUAGCUGGCAACUGUAACUAGUCAUAGAAAAGACAAAAGUGCACUUAGAAGUACCCCAAGACAGUGGUUUUCAACCUUUUUUUCAUUUGCAGACCCUUAAAUAUUUUCAGAUGGAGGUGCAUACCCCUUUGGAAAUCUUAGACAUAGUCUGUGUGGACCCUGCAGGGAUCCACAGGUCACAAGUUGAAAACCACUGCCUUAAGAUGUUGAAGCAGCACCAAUAUGGUAGAAGUUAAGGAUCCUAUGGCAUUUUACAUAAAAUGGGUGACAAGCUCAGGGUCCCAACCACCAUUACCUCUGUCAGCAAAUCCAGUUUUGCUAUAUCAACAGCACUUAGGUAUAUUCUAUUGGUAUUUAACACUAAGAAAGAGCAAACACCAACUAUAAACUCAAGGAAUAGAAUUUAUACUCACAAAUAACCUGCUGAUACAGAGACAUGAGUACUAAGCCAUAUUUACAUUAUAGAGAUAUUUCACUGUAAUUUCUCAAAAAUAUGCAUAAUAUAAAUUAAAAGCAUAACUCCUGCUGUUACAGCAUGCAUUCAACAACCACUUAUAGUCUCUUGCUUUCCAGUUGAUUCUCCACUGAUUUAUCUGAAGUGGUACACUUAAGUUAUGAAAGAAAGAGAAGCAAAGUAGAAAGGAGCAUAAUUGUGGUUUCUGAAAGUCAGGGAAUCCUCUAGUCCCCUCCUCCACCACAAACAUUAAAUAUUAAGAAUAGUUGCUUCUAAUAAUAAUAAAGCAAAUUUUCUAAGGUCUAGAAGACUCAACAAUUUUUUGAACCCCCAAUUGUUGGUCAGCUGUCAACACAAACUAACAAAAGACAAUGUUUAAAAGAGGUCAUACACUAUUUUUAUUCCUUUGUAGAUCUCUCUAAAGAUUCUGGGGCUGAGUUUUCCCAUGUGUAACAUGCACUGGCAUGAAGCUUAAUACUUUGUUUAGCCACCAGCUUUUGGGGGAUUGCCCCAUUCUUUGCAGUUCACCCUAGUUGAGUGACCACAGCUGGCUCCCCACUAGGACUCUGGACACAAAAGCACUUUGGGAUCCUCAAGGAGAAGACACUAUGUAACUUUAAAUUACAAACAAUGUUGUUUGCUUUUUAGGAAAUGCCUUGAACAGGUGUAAAUUGAGUACAUUCUUCUUUUUUUGGGGCGGGGGCGGGAGAAGUGUCCCUUCAAUAAGAGAUUACUCAUUUUGUGCAGUAACUGCAGUCCUUCAAGAUAUUUUUCUCUAUGGGUGCUCCACUUCAGGUGUGCAUGUGCCUGUCGAGCCCUUGAGCAGAGAUUGUCAGUUAGCAGUAUCUGUUUGGCCUGCUCAUGUGCCCUAUGCCUCCUUGUGCUGGAUACUGAGACUAUUCAGGGAUGUGCGGGCAGCCCCCCCCCCCCAGUUCCUUGUCCAACCAAACAUUCCCUAAGGAACAGGCCAAAGCAGAGGGGAAGGAGGCCAGGUAGUGGGGUACCCAAUAGGUAUGCAGAUCUCAAAGAACCACAGUCAAUGCAUAAAGUGAGUAACCUCAACUUCCCUAUGCAUUCUCCAUUUCAGGUGACUUCUGAGCAGUAUUCCCAGAUGCAAGAGAAAGCUUCAGAAUAGAGUCCAGAAGUAAAGACAGUAUUGCAGAACCAAAGUGCUGCAUUGGAUCUGACAGUAUGGGUCAAGGCCUAAUGUUUCUCAAACAGAUAUAAUCCAGGAUGUCUGAAAGUGGCACCAAAUCAAGCAGGAGGCAGCGAUGACACCACCAAUAGGUUGUGGAAGUUGCCGGUGCUUGCAGCUGUUGCUGCUCCUGGACCCCUCUCUCUCCUCAGCAAUACUCUUUUCAGAAUUAAACUGGUGUUUUUUCUUCUAGAGCGAUAAACAACGGUUGGGAGUUAUUCUGUCCAGCAAGUCUUCUGUCCUCUUGGGCAGCUUUCCAAUAUCUCUCUCAGCUGUCUCAUUCAAUUGCUUUAUAUAUACUCGUGGGGGAAUUCUGCACCAAAAAAAUUAAAAAUUUUGCAAAAUUCUGCAUAUUUUAUUUGUAAAAAUAACACAAUAUAAUUACACUAGCUUCAAUUAUUUUGGUAAUUUACUU